AAGAAUAGAGGUGCAGCGACGAUUGAAUUCACACCCAAGGCACCGCAACUCUUGAAACACCCAUCGGCUGCUUCAGAUUCUCUCAAAGCUUUACAGUUUAGCUUUUGUCGUUGAUGCACCUUCCUUUUAUUCUUAUCGAUCUUCCCGGUUUUCUUUUUUGUGUCACCGUCGGCUACAAGAAACUAGCUUCAUCAGUUUUCCUCUGCCUAUUACAAGGAAACAUCGGCAAUAAGGAAGAUGGCCCUGCCUGUACUGUUGUUAUUUAGAUUUUGGGUAUGUUGUCUUUCGCUUCUAUUUGAUUUUUAAUUUCCGUCUUUUGUUGUUUUUGAUUUUGGGUAUGUUGACCCUUGCUUUCAGUUUCUGUUCGAUUGUGUCAGCAUGAACACCUAGGUUAGAGCCGAAUCUGUCAUUCGUGUUUGGUUUAAUUUCUAAUUUGAUGUGUUGAUUAGUGUUAGCCAUCGGAUGUAAUACAAAUUAUUCUUGAAUGAUUGAUAUGCAACGUGUACAUACCUGGUGAAACCUAAUUCCAAUUCCGCUUUUCCCCCUACAGUAUGUGAAGCCUCGAUCACAUGCCAGCAUUUUAAUCGAUUCAUACGACAUUAGUUGGGUUCAAACAAUUCAAUUGGUUCAACGAUUCAUUCAACCCUCACGACUGAAGCGCUUUUAUCGGCUGCAGUCUUAUGUAUGAUUUUGUACUUCGAUUUCUAAUAUAUUAUUUGAUUGACAUCCGCCAUUUAUGAUGGCCUUCAGUUUUUUUAGAAGAACAACGAAACGAAGUGAGAGGCCGGGUGCAGGAACAAGAGUCGAGUUGAUUCAAUUUGCCUUUAUUGAGUUUACUAACUACGGUAUGCUAUAUUGCUAAUGCUAAUUAUAUAACUUUUGUUCCUUUAUUAACUAUAUUAAAUCUGUGAUUUAUGUUAACAUUUUUUUGUUAUAUAAUAUAUUUCUCUUGCAGAAGGGGCAAGAAAUGCAUAGAAUAUUGCUUGAACUAUGCUUGGUAUUAUCCAGUUAGGGACAACAGCCAACUUGGUGUAUGUAUAAACUCAUUGGUUCCUAAUUAUU
rnacentral:lncRNA from 1 species